rnacentral:tRNA from 1 species
GGGGCUGUAGCUCAGUGGCAGAGCGUUUGCCUUGCACAUGUGAGGCACUGGGUUCAAUCCUCAGCCCCA